GGGAGAGAGUGGAUUUUCGGUGGCUCCUGCGCGGUCGGGCUAGAAGAGCGCGCCCGGGGCUGUAGGGCAUCCGGCGGCGGCGGCGGGGGCUUGCAGCGCGCGGGGCUGUACGGGACUGGAGCACCACUUCCCAGGGGCUUUGCAUUUUGGGAAGUUCCAAGGCUCCACCAAAAGAAAACGAGCGGGCACCUGCCUGAGGAGACCUCCAUUGAGCAAAAGGACCAGACACCAAAGAAGACAAGUAGCCCAGAUGAUCCAGCCUCACAGACUGCCUCACUUGCUGUUUCUUCACAAAGCUGCAACCAGGGAAACUCCAAAAUGGCUGGCUAAGACGGUCCAGCCUCACAUCCUGUUCCAGCCAAGACUUCAAUUAAGCCCUGUUCUUCUGAUCCCACAGAGACUGGACAGCACAUGACGCAGCUAGCUCUCCUAGGACUAGGCCAAUAUCCCAGUUUUCUUAGACCUUCCCCAAAAGGUGCUGUUGUCCCCAGGUGCCAGGAAGUAAUUUUAAGAGAACAGUAUCCCCUUUCCCAAGAGGUGGGGUGGGUGGUUUUUGGUUCUUUGGUGGGUGAUGGAUGUUUGUUGUCCUUUAGGGGGAUUGGUUACAAGUUGUUAUUGGUCAUGGUCAGGGAGGAAACAAAGGAGGUUAAAUUCAGGGAUCUUUUUCUUUCUCCUCAUUAUCCUUCUUUCCCUCCUGUCUAAUGUUAGGGGGGAAGUGGGAAGAUAUGAUAAAGAAAAAAAAAAAACAAAUGAGGAUAUAAGAAUCAUAGAAGGGUAGAUUAUUGAAUCUACAUUUAAACCAAAGAACACCAAGAAGCCAAAUAUUUUACAUUGGUAUAGUAUUUUGUAUAUUGAUACAAAUUUAAGGAUAUAUUUUGCUACAACAUAUUGCAUAUGUGUUCCAAUUCUCACUUUAGGUAUUGUACCUAUGCCAACUCCCUCAACUGUAAUGUGAAGUUAUAGUCCUUUUGAAAGCUACUAUUACAAGCUGUUUAGGACAAUUAAGAAAUUCUAGCUACUAGUCAAUCAAACUUGUCAUGUCAGGUAAUGGUUUAGCUAAUUACAGCGAUAAGCUUUAUUUAGCCGCCUGUAGAUCUUUCCAAAGUUAAACAGAUAGUAAGUAGUUGGAAACAAGUAAUGUUUGCCUAUUCAGUGGUCUUCAAACUCUUCAGAGAUCUGCAGAAUAUGGCAUUUAAUGAUGUCUUAAUAAUAAAAGGCUCUUUUGACAGUGAGACAUGCCUGCUCCUGGCAGCACCCUCAUACUACUUCAAAGAAGAUGGUGGGCAUCGAAGAACCUCCAUAUGGGUUUGCAUGGUGGCAGAGGUGCCAGCAGACAAAACUGCCCUCGCCUCAAUUGCUGACAGCAUGCUGUCCAAACCAUGGACGAGCAGGACACAGAGGAAGUCGACUGCCAAGCUUUGCUGAGACAAUGUAGGCCAGUCCUUCAAUAUUCCUGCUUCACAGAUAAGUCUGUCAGAUAUUCUGAGCCAGUAGGCCGAAGAUGGAUGCUCCAAAACUGCACAGGAAUCUUGCACAGGGUGACUGUCCAGGGGGCCGGCAGUCUCUGUCAUUCUAUGGUUUUGGAAACUUGCUCUGCACAUCCUGUUUUCUCUGUUAAUAUUUAUCCUUCUCAGGUCUCUGAUGUGGUUGAAGACUAGAUAGUUACAGCCUUACAGUUUUCCUUGUCACCAAAGAAAGGAAACUCCCAAAAGAGAGGUAAAGUUUAUAAAGGUUGAAAGACAUAAAAGCUUAAGUUGUAAAGGAUCCAAGAAAAUGUUUUAAGCUCUUAAAAGAUGUUUUUAGGUCGAUAAAUGCAAGAUAUGAUAGACAAUGAUUUAGGUACAGAACUUUGGAGUCACCAAGAAAAUCCUUUCUUGAAGGUUGGCAAAUACAGAUAAACUAGACAUUGUGAAUGUAAUCCUUACCUGAUAGCUCUCAUUGUGUAUAGUUUACUGAUGUUAGAGGAAGAGCCUUUUAUUGGACUAAAAGGUGGGACUGUUGGGGUGAUCUUUUGUGCACUUUGUAAAGGUUGUCUUUUUUAUUGUUCAAGUUUCUUUAGCUCAAUUGCACUGGAUGUGGUUGAUCACAUGUAGGGAGGAGGUACAUGGGCAGGAAAUACACUGUGAUGUAUGCUUGCUCCUGAUUGGCUACAGGUAGGAGGUAUGCUGGCAGGGAGUACGUCAAGAUAUUUGCUUGUCCCUUAUUGUACCUUAUUGUACCUGAUGGGAAAUACUGUGGCCUUAUGGAUUUGCCUUUUUAAGCCUCUGCAAAAUGUUACCCAUUGCCAUUUUCUGGGAACCAGGAAUGGACCUGGCGAGAGUCCAUCAUCCUGGCUAGUAUUUAAGUAAAGCUUGCUUCAACUAUGUCUCAAAA